GACGAACGCUGGCGGCGUGCUUAACACAUGCAAGUCGAACGGAAAGGCCCUGCUUUUGUGGGGUGCUCGAGUGGCGAACGGGUGAGUAACACGUGAGUAACCUGCCCUGGACUUUGGGAUAACUUCAGGAAACUGGGGCUAAUACCGGAUAUGAGCUCCUGCUGCAUGGUGGGGGUUGGAAAGUUUCGGCGGUUGGGGAUGGACUCGCGGCUUAUCAGCUUGUUGGUGGGGUAGUGGCUUACCAAGGCUUUGACGGGUAGCCGGCCUGAGAGGGUGACCGGCCACAUUGGGACUGAGAUACGGCCCAGACUCCUACGGGAGGCAGCAGUGGGGAAUAUUGCACAAUGGGCGGAAGCCUGAUGCAGCAACGCCGCGUGCGGGAUGACGGCCUUCGGGUUGUAAACCGCUUUCGCCUGUGACGAAGCGUGAGUGACGGUAAUGGGUAAAGAAGCACCGGCUAACUACGUG
rnacentral:rRNA from 1 species